UGUUUUGGCCUCCUCACAUCCCAUUUGUUUCGCCAUCUGCCAGGAUUAAUCAGCCUUCAGGUAAAUCAAGUGAAUCAAUCUUCAAUAUUUUCAUUGUUUUUAUUUACAUAUUGUACACCAUUCUCAGAGGAUGAUUACGAUGAAGAAGAAUUUGAUGAUAAAACAGAACGCUCGAGAAAAAUUUUAAAUAAGAAAGAACUGAUAGAGAUCGCUCUAUCGUAUGGAGAAUACGUUCAUGAAGUGAGUAUUAUUGUUGUAGAUUUAGUAUAUAGAAGACAACUCACUGCUUCUCUUAACUUUUGUUUAAUUAGUUUACUGGACAUGAAAAAAAUGAAGAGACAACACAAUCAUUUGGUCAAGGAAGACAAGAGAAAACUAAUCGAGAUGCGAAUGUUGGAAAA